rnacentral:rRNA from 1 species
GUGGCAGCCGCCGCGGUAAUACGUAGGGUGCAAGCGUUAUCCGGAAUUAUUGGGCGUAAAGAGCUCGUAGGCGGUUUGUCGCGUCUGUCGUGAAAGUCCGGGGCUCAACUCCGGAUCUGCGGUGGGUACGGGCAGACUAGAGUGAUGUAGGGGAGACUGGAAUUCCUGGUGUAGCGGCGGAAUGCGCAGAUAUCAGGAGGAACACCGAUGGCGAAGGCAGGUCUCUGGGCAUUAACUGACGCUGAGGAGCGAAAGCAUGGGGAGCGAACAGGAUUAGAUACCCUGGUAGUCCAUGCCGUAAAACGUUGGGCACUAGGUGUGGGGGACAUUCCACGUUUUCCGCGCCGUAGCUAACGCAUUAAGUGCCCCGCCUGGGGAGUACGGCCGCAAGGCUAAAACUUAAAGGAAAUUGACGG